rnacentral:tRNA from 3 species
CGGGGUGUGGCGCAGUCUGGUUAGCGCACUCGUCUGGGGGGCGAGGGGUCGGAAGUUCAAAUCUUCUCACCCCGA